rnacentral:rRNA from 1 species
UCUUGGUCAUUUAGAGGAAGUAAAAGUCGUAACAAGGUCUCCGUUGGUGAACCAGCGGAGGGAUCAUUACCGAGUUUACAACUCCCAAACCCCUGUGAACAUACCUUAUUGUUGCCUCGGCGGAUCAGCCCGCGCCCCGUAAAACGGGACGGCCCGCCAGAGGACCCAAACUCUAUUGUAUUUAGUGUAUCUUCUGAGUAACACAAACAAAUAAAUCAAAACUUUCAACAACGGAUCUCUUGGUUCUGGCAUCGAUGAAGAACGCAGCAAAAUGCGAUAAGUAAUGUGAAUUGCAGAAUUCAGUGAAUCAUCGAAUCUUUGAACGCACAUUGCGCCCGCCAGUAUUCUGGCGGGCAUGCCUGUUCGAGCGUCAUUUCAACCCUCAAACCCCCGGGUUUGGUGUUGGGGAUCGGAUUGCUAGUCAAUCCGUCUCCGAAAUCUAGUGGCGGUCUCGCUGCAGCCUCCAUUGCGUAGUAGCUAACACCUCGCAACUGGAACGCGGCGCGGCCAUGCCGUUAAACACCCAACUUCUGAAUGUUGACCUCGGAUCAGGUAGGAAUACCCGCUGAACUUAAGCAUAUCAAUAAGCGGAGG